rnacentral:lncRNA from 1 species
AUUUCUCCGUUUUGAUAUUGCACAGAAUGAAGAACAUAGCAGACAGAUGAAGUAGGCCUGGUGGUGCUCUGAGCAGAACAAAUCCUAAAGCCAGGAGGCAGCACCAUUGAAGUGUGUUUGACAGACGGAACUACUGUUUUGAAUCAACCCUCUGAGAUGUCUAAAUCAGCCUCUCAGACUUUGCUCCCUCUAUCACGUUUCCCAAGAAGUGGAUCAGAGAUAAAGAGAAAUAUGGAAAUUUGGAGUAAAAGGUGAG